UGACUAAAGAAAGGGAAAUGUUAUCAGAGCAAGACGGCAUCCGACUAGUCCUUUUUGUGUCCUCGAUGUUGGGCUUGAUUGUCUUCUUGCUUCUUUACAUCGCCUUAAUUCACUUCUGCAACAAAACAGAUCAAGAACAUCACCUGGACAGACUUACAACCAGAGGACAAACUAAAUCCAACCUGGAUGAAGAUGUGUUUACAAGAGUUGUGUUUAGAUCCCAGAAAAGAUGAACACAUCAGCAGGCAUAGUGCCAGGACCUAACCUUUCUGUCGGGGUUUGGAUUUAAGAACUCCUUGUUUGUGUGUUUUUUAUUAUGACGAUCUGUUUAAUUGUAUGUUUCAUCUCAUUUCACUUUAUCUGGCUCCAGUUUUCUUGUUUGCACCUGUCUUCCAUAUAUCUUCUUAUCGUCUUAUCUUUCCCUUCGUCCCUGCUGGUUCUUCUCUGCAGUUCCUCUGAGUCUGCUUUAUUCCUAGCCCUGCAUCAAUUCCCAGUUUAUUUUCUAGUAGUGACAGUUUUGUUGUUAUUGAAUUCCUACA